rnacentral:rRNA from 1 species
AUUCCAGCUCCAAUAGCGUAUAUUAAUGUUGUUGCAGUUAAAAAGCUCGUAGUUGGAUUUCUGGAUUGAACGGCUGGCCUUGCGCGCAAGCGUUCGUGUCGGCUUCUUCGGUCCAUCCUCAGGGGAACGUGCGCUGGCAUUAACGUGUCGGUGUUCGGACGCCUGUCGUUUACUGUGAACAAAUUAGAGUGUUCAAAGCAAGGUGUACUUGAAUACAUUAGCAUGGAAUAAUAAGAUAGGACUUUGGUGGUUCUUUUUGAUAUUUUGUUGGUUUGCACGCCAAAGUAAUGAUUAAUAGGAGCAGUUGGGGGUAUUCGUAUUCAAUUGUCAGAGGUGAUGUUCUUGGAUUUAUAGAAGACGAACUACUGCGAAAGCAUUUACCAAGGAUGUUUUCAUCG